rnacentral:rRNA from 1 species
AAAAACAUGUCUUUUUGAGUUUAAUUUAAAGUCCAAUCUGCCCACUGAUUAAAAAUUAAAGGGCUGCAGUAAUUUGACUGUACAAAGGUAGCAUAAUCAUUAGUCUUUUAAUUGAAGACUUGUAUGAAAGAUUUGAUGAAAUAUAUACUGUCUCUUAUUUAUAAUUAAAAUUUAAUUUUUUAGUUAAAAAGCUAAAAUAAAUUUAAAAGACGAGAAGACCCUAUAGAGUUUUAUAAUUUAUUAUUUAAAAUAUUUAUAUAAAAUUUUAAUAUUUAAUAUUUUAAAUUAUUUUAUUGGGGUGAUAAAAAAAUUUAAAAAACUUUUUUUUAAAAUUAACAUUAAUAAUUGAAUUUUUGAUCCUGAUUAAAGAUUAUAAGAAAAAAUUACCUUAGGGAUAACAGCGUAAUAUUUUUUUUUAGUACAAAUAAAAAAAAAAGUUUGCGACCUCGAUGUUGGAUUAAGAUAAAAUUUAAAUGCAAAAGUUUAAAAUUUUGAUCUGUUCGAUCAUUAAAAUCUUACAUGA